rnacentral:rRNA from 1 species
UCGAAGCCUCACAAGCAGUGCGACCCGUGAAUUUGUUUGACUACUCAGGGGUGGCUAGAGGUGUCCGACACCUUGGUCCCCCUUGUGUCGGGAGGCGUCCCACCUUGUGUGGUCUCCUUCUGGCCCAAUAACAAAACCCCGGCGCCGAACGCGUCAAGGAAAUUGAAAUCGUUUAGUGCACCCCCGUUGGCCCGGAGACGAUGCCUAUGGGCGGUGUUGCGACACGCGUAUCCAAA